AAAAGUAAAACACGUUACAAGGACACAAUGUACAUUGCAGAGUACAUGAAUGGGAAUUCCUCCUCUCUAUACUUACACUCCUCCCUAACAAAUGCCAAGUCAUCAUCUCCAUAUUGUGUGUCGCACUUUUCGAGUUUCAUUGAAGUGUGCCCAAGUGCACAAAAUGUAAAACAAUGUAUUAGUUUUUUAAGCCCCCGUUCCCGGUCUAACAAGAUGCCAUUCAUUUAAGAGACUAAUAAUUUUUUGAUUUUAAAUUGUGCUAACUUCAACGCAGUAACAUUAAAAAUAAAACAUAGCAGAACUCAUUUUUGUUGGACACAAGAACAACUCAAGCAUAUUUUUCGGGAGCCGGAACUAGGGCUUACAAGUUUGCCGUGCCCCUGGGGACCAGUGCGAGGUUGUGCUGCAGAUCCUGGCGUGGAGGGUCCGGACACUCCCACAGCGCAGACUUUGCUAUCCGCACAGAGCGUUGCUGGUGUGGCUUAUGCAAAAGAGACAAAACAGCUCCCGAGGGGAGGUCACGGCAGGAGUUCCCUGAGUUGACACGUAUGAACCAUAAAAUCAGUUUGGACUGAGGAGCAGUUGGUGAACUACAUUCAGUCCUGAUGUAGAGAGUUGAAAAUAGCUUUCUAGUAAAAUCUGGUAUCAGAAAUAAACUGGGGAAAACAGCCCCCCCCCCUAAAGGUUUUUGUUAUGAUUGUAUUUGUGUACCUGUCAGUUUACAAUGCUAUUCUGCAUCCAGCCGCUAGAGGGCGCAUUACGCGCAGUGGUAUCGAGUAGCGUUUUGGGGCACAGAGGAAGAAUAAACCUUCCUGUUGUGAAACUGACAUCAGCUCAACGUGUGUCCCGUUUUCUAUUCUUUAUCACAGGUUAGUAAAUGCAUUUAAAUGAAUGUAUACUGCAGACCUUACAAACAGAGGAUGUUGUUUAUAUUGGUAAUAAGCGCAACUCGCUAAAGAAAUGGAUUCGUUCUGAGUUGUGUCCGAAUUGUGGGUUAAGACUGCAGGCUAAAUGAUGCUAAUGCUAGCGGACUGGGCUAAUGUGGGAUACUGAGUGUGUGUGGGGAAGCUAAUCUGACCUGUGAGAGACUUCUGGACUGUGAACUCUUAAUGUAUUAUGUACUCUGAUAAAUUGAUUUGAUACUAUGUUUUAUUCUUCUGGUUGAUGUUGUGGUUACAAGAACAAGUUUGUGGUUUAAUAUGAAGACAUUUAUAGAGUGUUAUAAGGAAACUGUUUGAUCAAUGCUGACUGCAUAGUAGUAGUGAACGCUGUUAAAGGAGCAUUGCACUCUAUAUAGUUGUAGGUUGUAUAAGAACAGUGAAUAUGUUUGUUUUAUGUCAAAGACAUUAUUUUCUUGUAAAGAGUAAAAUAGCUAUAUUAAAAAACAGAAGUUAUAUUGUCAGUACAGUGGAAAUACAUUUCACAUAGAUAAGUUAGUGCUGAACGAGAAUUAAAAUGUUUAAAAACGAGUUAAUUUUAUGAUGUUUGUAAAGGUAGUUAAAAUGAAGUACAGAGUACACUAUUGUGUUUUGUUUAUCUUUGUAAAAUAAGUGUGUUUAUUGUGAUACAUUGUGAAUCUGAUAUUGUCAAUGGAUUUAAGCAACAUUUUGUUUAUGUUUUGUCAAAGUUGUAUUGAGAGAUUUAUACAGUCUCUAGCUCAGGGAACUGUGGCCAUGUAUGGUAAACUGGACUGAAGCAUAAGGCCAUUGCUUUGCAGUUAGUGUGGUGAUACCUGAAGCUGUUCUAAGCUGUUGUGAAGAAUAAACCUUCCUGUUGUGAAACUGACAUCAGCUCAA